UGGUAAAAUUCAGUUUGUCAUGGUAGG
rnacentral:piRNA from 1 species